rnacentral:piRNA from 1 species
CCAGCCACAGCACAAGGUACAACCUUGGCUAUCUCUGGAA